UUGCGUUCAGGUGAAGCGUGUUGCGUUCAGUUGAAGUUAACAUGUCUGUGUUGCGUUCAGGUGAAGCGUGUUGCGUUCAGUUGAAGGUAACAUGUCUGUGUUGCGUUCAGGUGAAGCGUGUUGCGUUCAGUUGAAGUUAACAUGUCUGUGUUGCGUUCAGGUGAAGCGUGUUGCGUUCAGGUGAAGGUAACGUGUCUGUGUUGCGUUCAGGUCAAGCGUGUUGCGUUCAGGUGAAGGUAACAUGUCCGUGUUACGUUCAGGUGAAGAGUGUUGCGUUCAGGUGAAGGUAACAUGUCCGUGUU